AGAUUGAACGCUGGCGGCAGGCCUAACACAUGCAAGUCGAGCGGCAGCACGGGUACUUGUACCUGGUGGCGAGCGGCGGACGGGUGAGUAAUGCCUAGGAAUCUGCCUGGUAGUGGGGGAUAACGCUCGGAAACGGACGCUAAUACCGCAUACGUCCUACGGGAGAAAGCAGGGGACCUUCGGGCCUUGCGACUAUCAGAUGACGCCUAGGUCGGAUUAGCUAGUUGGUGAGUAAUGGCUCACAGGCGACGAUCCGUAACUGGUCUGAGAGGAUGAUCAGUCACGACUGGAACUGAGACACGGUCCAGACCUCCGUACGGAGCAGCAGGUGGGAAUUACGUGGACAAGUGGG
rnacentral:rRNA from 1 species